rnacentral:lncRNA from 1 species
UGGAAAAAUCGAUUUGAGUGUUGCAGCAGUCAACGAUCGACGGUGCUUAGAGGAAGGAGAAAAUGCUUGGAAAACCCGAUUGAAGAUUUGAUUUGAGCGAUAGAGGAAUAAAAUCGAGUGGAUAAAAAUUACCGACGGACGAGAUCGAACUAUAGUGGUAGCUUAGAGAAACUAGCGAGAUCGAGCUGCAAUCUCUGAAAAAUUCAUUUCGACGAGCCUGUACUCAAAUCGACGUACACAAGCACCAAAUGAGCGAACACUUAAAGAAAUGGCGAUCGAUGAAUGAGCACACGAAAAUAGGUUCGUUCGGAUCUGUUAAGAACACUCAU